AACAGGACUUCUUUGCUUCUGUAAUCCCCUCUCUGGCAUCCUUGACACUCUAGAGGUGGGACUUGCUCAUGAGGGCAAAGGGAUGGGAUGUUUCCUGUUCUCGGGGCUGUGGUUUGAUGUUUACUGAUGUCUGCGGCGGAGGGUUCAGCCUGCAAGUCCAGCUUUUUGCAUCCAUGAGCAGACCACUGGGGACAUGAGAGCAACUGGUCUAGCCUAGUGUAAAGAGAAUCCUCACUUUGGCCUGGGUUAUUGGUAUUGACCGCUGAGCUUGGCCUGGAGAAUAAGGCAGGCUGCAUUUUAGGGACUGUCCCAUCUCUGGGGCUUCACUGUGCACUGCGACUCUUGUUUCCUCACUGGACCUGUGCACAUGGCAGAAACCAUGCCAACCGUGGAGGAGGAUGUGAUAUCUGCUAGCAUGCCAUUCCUUCUACUGCAAACUGAACUGCCGAUAUUCCCAUCCCCCAUCUACGUGGGUUUGCAUUUCAGACCCUUCGGGUUGGGUGAGGAGCCCAAAGGAAGUCUCCUCCUCCCUUUCCAGAUGUUCUAUGCAGCAUUUACAGCAGGAAACCCACAGAUACUGGUUGGUACUGUUUCCCUGCACAGUUAGAUGGUUGUCCUUCCUCGUGUUUAGGAUGUCUAUGAAAUGUCAAAUUAAUUUUUUUCCCUUAUAUUCUGUAUAGUCUACAAGCUAAUAAGGUUAGUUUCCCGUGACACUGGCCUAGGCCUCCUGUUCGUGAGUGAUCCUGCUGGGGUCUCACAUUAAAAGCUUUACCUUGGAGACCCUUCGAUCUCCCUUGAAUUUUAACAUAAUUCAAAGGCUGGGGUGAGGUGGUUAUUAAUGUAGGGUACGAGGUGAGGGCAGCCGGCUGAGCGAUAUUGAACAUGGCGCUAGGUAUAGUAGGGUUUGUAGGCGGAGUGCCCAUGGAUGUGGGAGGUGAUGGGAGGCAAAGUUGGCCUCUAGGUCUGUGACUGAUGGCAACAGUAUCCCUCACUGAGACCGCACAGUGCCUCUGGCAGAGUCAGAUUCACACAGAACAUUCUAACUAUGUGGGUGAGAUACUGUGGAAUGGACUGCAUUGCCCAGGUAUGAGGCGUGAGCCUCUUUGAGGGAUGAGAGGAUCUAGAAGCUCCCUGAGGAUCGGUAGUAGUGCCCUUAUGUUACUGAGGGGGUGAUCUCACCCCAGCAAAGUUGAGGGGGUUGGUGGCCCCUGUCCUGGAGAAGAGGGGGAUGGAUUCAUUACCCAAGGGAUCCUUUGGAAGCCUUUCCUCAGCUUGUGCCUCCUGAAACUCACGAGGUGGUGUUUCUUUUGUGAGACACUGAGAUCAGAUGAUGGUAUGGUCCAGCGCACUGCUGUCUGAUCCCCGGCGGUCACCUGACCUUUCAACCUCACUCCUCCUCUGUACCAUAUGGAGAGCGAAAAAUCUCUCCCCUAACGGCUGGAGAAUAACCGGGGCGUGUUCUCUUGCCUGCAUCUCCCCAGCGUUGACAUCCUGCUAUAGCUAAGCUACAGGAACAAGGAAGGCCCCGAUCACUAAGACCCCAAGACCUACCAUCCUAAGCCCUUUGGAUGUCUUCAGAGUUGCUCUACGAGGCCUGAAUGGCGGAGGGCGAGCUGGAUGCUCAUCCCAAACACCCCUCCUUGCAGAGUCAGACCGGUAGAUUCCAGGUUCUCCGUUCUCACAAUGGUCGUUCCUCAUUCCCGUGUCAAAGACAACUCAUUUAUUUGAACGUGAGUUUUUACCUCAUUCCUACCGUCCUUGGCCUUCUACGGCAUCAUGGGCAUUGGAUUUGGCUUCUGAAAAAUGGGACUUGGCUGAUCAUGGAAAUGGGAUGUUCCCUGUUUUCAUGGCUUUGACUCUAUGUGGAGGUGAGAUUUCAACUCAGCCUGGACGGUGCUUGUCAUUCCCAGGCUGGUAUUAAUCCAUCUUGUUUGGAACUUUAUGAACACCCUGAUAUCCCAAGUGUGAUGGUUUGCAUAUGCGUGGCCCCGGGAGUGGCACUACUAGAAGAUGUGGCCUUGUUAGAGGAAGUGUGUCACUGUGGGGAUGGGCUUGGAGACCCUCCUGGGGAUGCUCAGUCUGUCCCUGGCUUCCUUCAGAUGAAGAUGUAGAACUCUCAGCUCCUCCUGCACCAGGCCUGCCUGGAUGCUGCCAUGUUCCUGCCUUGAUGAUGAUGGACUGAACCUCUGAACCUGUAAGCCAGCCCCAAUUAAAUGUUGUCCUUCAAUUAAAUGUUGUCCUUUAC
rnacentral:lncRNA from 1 species